rnacentral:piRNA from 1 species
UGUCUGGGGCCCCUGGGGACAUCC